rnacentral:lncRNA from 1 species
ACUAUCAACCCCUCCUCCGGCGCGCGCCCUGUGGCUAAACCAAACACCUCCACCGGCAGCAGGACCCGGCUGUGGACCAGAGCAUGAAGCCAGCUGACAGCACUAACCAACUCUAUCAUCUCCACUAGAGGGAGGGCUAUCUCACAACAAGGCCACCAAAGAGCUGCAGCAGAGGCCAGCUCCCCCUGUGGUGCCACAACAGUGGUGCGACCUUGUCACCAGGGUGCCAUGUGUCACAGUGGGGGGACCCAGAGGGAGAGGGUGGGG